rnacentral:rRNA from 1 species
AACGAACGCUGGCGGCAGGCUUAACACAUGCAAGUCGAACGCAUCCUUCGGGGUGAGUGGCAGACGGGUGAGUAACGCGUGGGAACGUGCCCUUCAGUUCGGGAUAACCCAGGGGAACUUGGGCUAAUACCGGAUACGUGCGAGAGCAGAAAGAUUUAUCGCUGAAGGAUCGGCCCGCGUCUGAUUAGCAAGUUGGUGGGGUAAUGGCCCACCAAGGCGACGAUCAGUAGCUGGUCUGAGAGGAUGAUCAGCCACAUUGGGACUGAGACACGGCCCAAACUCCUACGGGAGGCAGCAGUGGGGAAUAUUGGACAAUGGGCGCAAGCCUGAUCCAGCCAUGCCGCGUGAGUGAUGAAGGCCUUAGGGUUGUAAAGCUCUUUCGUCCGGGACGAUAAUGACGGUACCGGAAGAAGAAGCCCCGGCUAACUUCGUGCCAGCCGCCGCUGUAA